rnacentral:ncRNA from 1 species
ACGCGUCCACACGGGUGCCCUCGCAAGGGCUGAGAUCAGGCUGACGCGGCCUGCGACCGUCGAACCUGUCCGGGUCAUGCCGGCGUAGGAAGUGAGGGCUCAGCAUAU